rnacentral:rRNA from 1 species
GCAGAGCAUCCUACGGGAGGCAGCAGUGGGGAAUAUUGCACAAUGGGCGCAAGCCUGAUGCAGCCAUGCCGCGUGUAUGAAGAAGGCCUUCGGGUUGUAAAGUACUUUCAGCAGUGAGGAAGGUGGAUAUGUUAAUAGCAUACUCAUUUGACGUUAGCUGCAGAAGAAGCACCGGCUAACUCCGUGCCAGCAGCCGCGGUAAUACGGAGGGUGCGAGCGUUAAUCGGAAUUACUGGGCGUAAAGCGCAUGCAGGUGGUUUGUUAAGUCAGAUGUGAAAGCCCGGGGCUCAACCUCGGAAUUGCAUUUGAAACUGGCAAACUAGAGUACUGUAGAGGGGGUAGAAUUUCAGGUGUAGCGGUGAAAUGCGUAGAGAUCUGAAGGAAUACCGGUGGCGAAGGCGGCCCCCUGGACAGAUACUGACACUCAGAUGCGAAAGCGUGGGGAGCAAACAGGAUUAGAUACCCUGGUAG